rnacentral:misc_RNA from 1 species
GAUUUUUCUCCUUCUUAGGUUCGAGUUUGACUAAUAUUGCCAAAUCGGUUAAUGGCAUGCUUGGUCAUGAAGGGCUGGAAGUCGUGAAUCCUGAUGGAGGCAAUGAGGAUGCUGGUGCUGAAGCCCAGCGAGGAAGAUGGAAGCAGGAGGAUCGUGAUAAUUAUUGGAAAAUGAUGCAAAAGUACAUAGGUGCUGAUAUUACCUCUCUGGUGACGUUGCCAGUUAUUAUUUGUGAGCCUAUGACAAACCUUCAAAAAAUGGCAGAGUUGAUG